AUUGAACGCUGGCGGCAGGCCUAACACAUGCAAGUCGAGCGAGCGGCGGACGGGUGAGUAAUGUCUGGGAAACUGCCUGAUGGAGGGGGGUAACUACUGGAAACGGUAGCUAAUACCGCAUACCAUCAGAUGUGCCCAGAUGGGAGUAGCUGGUGGGUGGGGUAACGGCUCACCUAUGCGACGAUCCCUAGCGUGUCUGAGAGGAUGACCAGCCACACUGGAACGGAGACACGGUCCAGACUCCUACGGGAGGCAGCAGUGGGGAAUAUUGCACAAUGGGCGCAAGCCUGAUGCAGCCAUGCCGCGUGUAUGAAGAAGGCCUUCGGGUUGUAAAGUACUUUCAGCGGGGAGGCGUUACCCGCAGAAGAAGCACCGGCUAACUCCGUGCCAGCAGCCGCGGUAAUAC
rnacentral:rRNA from 1 species